CCAGGGCGGAGAAGGCCCGUGCACAGGCGCACAAGCUAUUUCCAGUGCUCCUCCGACCCAGAAGUGCACCGGAAAUAGCGUGUGCUAUUGGCACGCGCCCUCCGACCCUCUGCGCAAUCGGCACUGGAAACACUGGCCCGAGGUGCGGUAUGUUUGCUGCCUUAUAACAUCAUCAUCUGCACCAUAAGCAGAGUUGACACUCUAGUAUCUGAGAAAAAGGAACAGCAAUGGGAUGGGAAGAAAAGGCACAUGGUCAAGGAGUCUUCUUCCACUGCGUUGCACUUUCACCUUAUGAAAGAGGCACACUCUUAAUCCAGCUUAGGGAAGGCCCCAGCUCUGGUACAGCAUCUGGUUUGAAUGCAGAAGGCUCCAUGUUCAAUCCCUGGUAUCUCUAGGGAGGACCGGGAGGGAAUCCUGCCUAAGUCCCUGGGAGUGGUGCUUGAGCUAGAUGGGCCGAUGGUCUGAUUCUGUGUCCCUGAAUCUGCACAGGAAGCUGGAAAUACCCCAAGGCAUGCUGGGGUAUAUACAGAAAUGAUGGUAGCACAUCCACUGUUCCAAGAAUUCCUCCUGCAAGGAUCAGAGAAGUAAAAUCAUCACUUGAUCAUGCGAUGGCUCUCAAUGGAUGAGGCAGUCCUUCCUUUCCACAUUUCUUCCAAGGAAUUCAGAGCAGCUUAUAUAUGGCCCCAGGAGUCUCCUAUCCAGACAGACUACAGGACCAGUCUGAAGACGGCUUCACGACAGCAGGAGAACUGUGUCAUGUGCCCUCAAGCCAUUCUCUGUGCCAUUUAACAGAUGCGUAGGAGAGGUUUGAUAUAUGUAGUACUGUAAGUCCAAACGGCAUCUCCUCCCACUAAGUCUGAGCUCUCCAAUGAACACCCACACGAGACACCCACUUGACAUGUUGCUUGUGUCUGGAAAGUUACGUCUUCCAUUUGAUUAAACAAUGGCGAAAUUGUCUUCUCCUUUGUGCUGUUCUGAUUUCAUAUCCAACAUGAAGAGUCCAGGACAAUGAGCAUGCCAGAGUUGUGCUGCUUUUUGUUUGGUUUUUAAGUUAAAUGGAGCAGGAACAGAACUCAACCAUCCCUGGAGCCCCCCAAAAAGCUGCAAGCUCACCCAGAAAGUUUGGAAAACCCUAACCCUGCCCCAGAACUUUAUCUGCUCCAUCAGCCUCCGGGUUAAAUCCUGGAAUCACAUCUUGGCUCAGUGGCACCUUUAGCACCUUCUUGGCCCUGUCUCCUAUCUAUCUCCUAUUUUCUGUGUAGCUGAAUCCCUCGCUGUGGACUGCAGGCUCUUCUUUACCAAACUGCACAGUCCGGUAUUCUACUGUUGUGGAUGCUGCCACAGGCUCUGUAUGCGAGUCUUUCAGCUCAGAUGUACCAUCGUUUGUGGCUCAAAUGCAUUCCAUGCACACUGUGUGUAGGAACACCAAACCUGAUCUGGUACAACACGGAGACUGGUGUUGCGUAUUGGCAAAGGUGCACAAUUUGAGUCAUUUAUUUCAUUCCUUAGCAGAGGAUGGGCUUGCAGCCUUAGCAUGAACACUUAAAUACCGGUUUUUUUGCUCUAUAAGACUCACUUUUUCCCUCCUAAAAAGUAAGGGGAAGUGUGUGCGUGUCUUAGGGAGCGAAUGCAGGCUGCGC